rnacentral:tRNA from 1 species
ACCUGGCUGGCUCAGCUGGUGGAGCAAGUGACUCUUGAUCUCGGAGUUGUGAGUUCGGGCCUCAUGCUGGGUA